UUCAAUAGCAACAGUUUGACCACCUCCAACUUACUUUUAUCUCAAUAAACUCAGUUUGUUAUCAUGUUUGAAAUAAACUGACCUUUAGGGUUUCGCGUUUCGUUUUCGUUUCACUUUGCGUCUUCUGUGGAGUGCGCGGAGGUGGUGCGUCUUCUCUGAAGAGAGUGCGGCGGUGGUGGCGAUUGAGCGGAGUGGUCGGGCGGUGGUGGCGAUUGAGCGGAGUGGUCGCGCGGUGGUGACGGUUAGGUCGCAGGGUGGUGGAGGUUCGUACGUUCGAGCGUUCGUGCGGCGAUUGCGGUGGUCACGGGUUGCAGGUCGGUGGUGUCGGAGGUGCCGUUCAUCUUAUAAGGUUACAGAUGUAUAGUGUGGAAUUAGGGUUCUGUUUUUAUUUUAUUGGGCUACACAAGAUGGGCUCCAAAUUGGAUUUUUUUUUAAUUAAUUGAGGUGCAGAAUUGUUUUUUGUUUGGAAUGCUCUUUUUUUUAAUUGAGAAAACUUGCAGCAAAUUUUGUUUUUCAGAAAUUAAAUUUGGAGCAAUGUAUUUUUUAAGAAAUUUAUGGGAAUGGACCGAAUUCAACUACUGAGCUCAAUCGAAGUACAUUGUUUUACAUUGUUUUAAUUAAGGAAUCGAAGUACAUUGUCUUAAUUAAGGGUGUAUGGAAAAAUCCAAAUCCAAAUAUUUAGAUCAGAUUUAAAAUCUAAAUCUAUAUUUUUUGGAAAAAUAAUUUGGAUUUUUGUAAAUCCAAAUCCAAAUAUUUGGAUUGGAUUUAAAAUCUAAAUCCAUAUUUUUUAUAAAUUUAUAUAAUAUUAAAAAAUUAUUAAUGUAAUGUAAUUUAAUUUUUUUAUGAUAAAGGUUAAUUAUUAAUUUUUUUAACGUUAAGCUUAUGUUUUCAAUUAGUUAUUAAUUUUAAUAUUUUAUAGUAGCUUAACUUUUUACAUUUACGCAUUUAUUAUUUAUUUAAUAUAUAUUUAAAUAAGUAAGUUUAAUUUUAGGAAAAAAAAUUUAUCAUGAUUUUAUUUUCAGUUAUAUCUAUUCAGAUAAAAUAUAAAUUAAAUAAUUUUAAUAUGUUUAAUUUAAAAUUUUCGUAUUAUGCAUGUUUUAAUUUUGAUAAAAAAACUUAAUAUAAAAUUACUCCGUUAUUUUUAUUAAGAUAAAACAUUCUCUAUUUUUUAUUUUUUUGAUAUAAAAAUUAUUUAAUUUUUAAAAUAUUAAAAUAAAUUAUAUAAAAGGGAUUAUUUUUCACUGAUGUCAAUUCAGUAGAAAAAAUUUAUUUUUCAAAAUUCUAAAAUGAAUACCCUCUUGAUGAAAAAAUUUAUUUUUCAAACUAAAUUUAUAUUUUCUAAAAAAACUAACAAUAUUAAUAUAAAAAUAUGUAAAAAAAUUAAUAUCAUAUAAAUAUUUAAAAUAUAUAAUAAAAUAAUAAUUUAAUAAUACUAAAAAUUAAAAUUACAGAUAAUCAAUAUUCAGUGAUGAAAAAGUAAUUAUAUACAAUUACAAACUAUACAUAAAAUUGGUGAUUUUUUUUUAUGUUAUUGUUAAAGUAAUCAGUGUAAAAAAUCAACCAUUGAAUUUAUAUUUUACUUAGAAUAUUCUUUAAAUGUAAAUAUAUUUUUAGAUAAAAUUUUUUGGUAUAUUACUGUUUGCAUAUGGUCCUCUCAAGUGUAUAUACAUGAAGAUAACUGAAAAUCUAUACAGUAUUUAAGUGAAGAAAAAAAAAAUUGUGAAAAAAAAAGUAAAAAAUCAGAUUUAUAAUUCAAAUCCAUAUUUUUUAUAAAAAUAAUUUUAAAAUUCAAAUCCAAAUUAGAUUUUAUAUCAAAUCCAUAUUUUUAUAAAAAAAUAAGGUAAAUUGUAUUUUAAAUCAAAAUCCAUGUAUUUUUUAAAAUUAACAUAAUAUUAAUAUAUUAAUAUAAUAACAUGUAAAAGAGUUGAAUAUUAUAAGAAAAUAUAAUAAAAUUAUAAUUUAAUAAUACUAAAAAACUUAAACAUAAUAUAUAUAUUCUUAACAUUAAAAUACACCUACCUAUAAUACUUGAAAUUUGAAAAUAUUAUAUUAAUUUAUUAUGUAUAAAAUAUUGGAGCAAAUAAAAUUAUAAAAAAAAAGUAUAAGACUUGGUUGUUUCAUUGUGUGUGAAAGAGAGCAAAUAAAAUUACAAAAAAUUAAUAAGAGGCUGGAGAGAGAGGGAACCAAAAAUGAGAAAAAGUAUAAAAAAGUGGUUUGGGUAGAGGUACUGGAGUGAAAGUCUCCUUUCAAAAAUUUGGAUUAGAAAUUUGGAUUUUUCAAUUUCUAAAAUCCAUAUAAACAAAAUGGAUAUCUGAUUUGAAAAUAUAAUAAAAAUGUGGAUCAAAUUAAAAACUGAAUUUAGAUAAACGGAUUUUUAAUGGAUUAGAAUAGUGUAAAAGUGGAGCAGUUUGACAAAACCAGAUUUUUUGCCCAGCCCUAGUUUUAAUAGAAGUAAAACUACUUUCAGAAAUAGAUCGGAUAUUGGAUGAAAACAUAAAAUAGAUAUUAAUGGAAAUGGUAAAAAUGUAAAAUGUAAUUAUUAUCCAAAGAGUGUGAGUGAAGGAACAUUUAGAUUCAAGCAUCAUCUUGUUAUAACUAGAAAAGACUCUGAACCUUGUGUUGGUUAAAGUGUUCACUUCAAUGGAGGAAUAAAAGUUCCAACUCUAGAUGCAGAUGAUGGAGCAAUAAGAUGAAGAUGAAGAUGGAGACGAGGAUGAUGGAGGAGAGGAUAUCAUUAGAGGAUUGGACAUAGAAACUUGACAUUUGUCCAUUUCUAAUUAUUUAAUUUUUAUGAUUUGAACAAUUUAACUUUUGUAGUAUUUGUAUAAAUUUCUUUAUUUGAGGUACUUUGAAGUUAUAUAAUUCUCAUUCAUGACUAAAUGUAGUUAUUUAUUAUUAAAAAAUCAUGUAAAGUAAACUCUUACGAGUUUAGAGUCGAGCCUAUGGAACUCCCAUGAGUCUACGUAGACUCUCAAGUUUGACAAACUUGUUCAAACAUAAAUCACAUUAUAGUACACUCAUAUUUUAUAUCAAACUUAAGUUUCCAACACACUUUUGAUUCAAACUUGUGUUUUCAUGCUUUAAUCCAAACAUGCACUUGUCAUCAAUUCAAUAGUAAAGUUUUUCAUCUUUAGAUGAACCAAAAACAAAACCACGCAAAAUCAAUAAAUCACACAACUUCAAUAGCUUAAUAACUACUUAAACUUCAGUAAUAUACCCAAAAAAAUGGUCAUGCAGAACAGAUAAACCCCACAACACAUAUUUCAGGACAUAUAACCAAAUUUCGAGCGCAAAAAUCAAAAUUCGAUAAACAUAAAUAUACCAAACCCAAAAACCCCAACAGUUAAAUUGUUUCAAUUUAUGCAAUGCCUUGUCACCAGCACGAAAUCGAGAUUCAAUUGAAACUAAAUGAAAUAAUAGAACUUACCACAUGGAAGAGGUUCAUAAGCCAAGGUUAAAAUGCAAAAGGGGUAGUCGUUUUGUUCUACCUCGCUGUUCAACAAUGUUUUUGUUUCGGAGCGAAUAAAAAUAACCGCGACUAGCGCUUUUUGUUUCUCCCUUUCUCUUUCUUUUGUGUUAUUGCAAUUGCUAUGCUAGAGUAGAGUAGAAGGACAUCCAACAUCACCAAACGAUCUUAAUCUUAUUGUCUAAAAUUAUUGGGAAAAAUAAAACUUCAAUAACUAUUUUAUUUUUGAAUGAUCGUGCAUGAUGAUAGAGGUGUUAUUUAAUUAUGUUUUUAUCCUUAAAAUCUAUAAUAAAUGUUCCUGUCGGUUGACUCGCUUCGCCAGUUGACUCCAACGGUAGCCUUUGGCCCUUCUAUCUCCGCUUGAGAAUUGUGCUUCCUUGAUCAAGAAACCUCUCACCUGCAAAGACAAAGGGGCGCCCUAGCGGCCGUUUGCACUCCGACGCUCAAGUCAGUAUUAGGGCAAAGAAACACCAAGAAUGUAUAUUAGCUUCAGUCUUAGAAACUGUGUACCUUGCUAGGGUUCUUAGCACCCUUUAUAUAGGCUGAAACUGAGGUUUACUUUUGUGUUGUUACCCUUGUCUAGGGUUCCUUAGGGAACGUCCUUGCGUCGCUAUUUACAGAAUCUUAGCGUAUCUGACACAUAGAACUUCCCUUAACUGGAGUGCAACGAAUAACAGAGUGGUCGCUUGGGUACCAACUUGUGCACCUAAUCUCUAGCCCCAUCUGCUUUGUAGGUACCCUAAGUAUUCACGUGCAAUGCAUGCAACUUUCCUUAGAAACCCUAACCCUAAUGGGCCUUAGCGCCUCCCAGGAUUAUUCCCUCGUGUCGCGCCUUCAUGCGCUAUACACACCACGUGCAUGGAUCCUUCGUGACUUAGGCUUCUCACAUAUCUCGUGGCUUAACUGUUAACAUAGCAUAACUUUUAGGGCCCACCUUACGUGGCCCACCACAACGUUCAGACUGUCGAUGUCCAAUCUCUCCCUCUGCUAGCGAGGUCCAAUGUCGAUCUCCAACAUCGGGGUCUAUGACACCAAUGUCUGAAGACUAACCAAUCCCCUGGUAGGUGCGUCUGGGACCCACCUUGCGUGGCCCCCUUCCAUUACCAAACAUCGGUGCGCGAUGUCUGAGGUCAGUCCCUAGGUCGAUGCCCGAGGACUGGUCAGGAAAAUAAAAACAAAAACAAAAACAAAAAAGCUCUCUUCUUUCUCUUCUUUUUCAAUGGAAAAUGGCUAUCAGGGUAGAGCUCGCUAUCCACAACGACCACCAAAUAACCACACAACCUUCUUUUUCUCCAACUUUCCUAAUGACUAUGUGAAUAUGGCAUGAUCAAGAUUUUUCAAAGGUGGGCAAGGGUAAAGGAAGUGUUUAUCUCCCGUAGGUUGAAUAGGUGGGGAAUAAGAUUUGGUUUUGUGAGGUUCUUUGAUGUGGCAAACGUGAGCCAGCUGGAGAAAGAACUGGAUCAGAUUCACUUAGGGAAAAUGAAGCUAAACGUUAAUAUCCCAAAAGGUAUCGAAGAACAGAUUUUAGUCCUAAAAAGGAGGAAGGAAAACAUCAAGGUAAUGAUUCCAGGGAGAAGAAGUACAAGAAGGUAUGGAAGGAAAAGAGGAAUAAAGGGUUACAAUCAUAUGCAGAAGCAGGAAAAGGAUCUUCACAAGCGCAAUGGAAAGGCCCUAUUAUUGACACCCAGAAAAUUACUUUACCCUGGAUGGAGAAAAGCAUCAUAGGUCAAAUGGCAAUUGAUAUGGAUUAUAACCAAGUAUGUGAGGAAUUUAUUAAGGGAGGGAUGACCUCAAUAAAAGUGAGGUAUAUGGGGGACAACCUGGUUCUCCUAACUUCAACUGAAUGAGAACGAUUGAAGGAUCUGAUUCAGCUCAACAAGGAAUGGUUUGAGAGUGUUUUUGAUGUCUUGAAUCCUUGGUCAGAAUCAUAUUUAGCAGAUCACAUAAUUGUCUGGGCAAGAUGUUACGACCUCCCAUUCUCGCUAUGGAAUAAGGAUUACUUUUCAAAAGUAGUUGGUGAAAUAGCUUCUCUGAUUUCAGUUGAUAAAGCUACGGAGAGCUGGGAGAUAAUAGAAUAUGUAAGACUUCAGGUACGUGUUCCUAGGAGUUGCAGAGCAAGCUUGUCUAAGGGUAUGUGUAUAAAUGGAGAGAUUUAUAGCAUUAAUAUUAAAGAGGAGGAUCCAAGAGUGCAUGGAGGUUUACGUAGAUGGAGGAGUAAUCUUUACACAACAUCUGAAUGUGUAUCCUCUUUGGAAUCGUUUGUGGAGGAAACGGUGGUAUCUGAGGAUAACGUUUUUCGUGAAGAGUUACAAGUGUAUGAGGAAGGUCUUGGAGAAGAAGGCGCAGGUUCAGGUAGCGGUGGACGACAACCACAGAUGUCACUGGUGGAAGAUGGUAGUGGCACGCGGUUCCAACAAGGGCCAAUCAAAGUCCCUUUUUCUGAGCCUGUGAUGUCAGGACCUGUCACGGAUUUGGUAAGGGGAGUGCAGAGAUUGCAAUCAGCAAAUGAAACGGCUAGUUAUGCUCUGUCAGACGCUAAUGUAACCCAAGACGUGCUAGCAAACCUAGUUGUGGCACUGGAGGCUGUAAAACGGGUGCAACUUUGGGCCAAUAAGGAUGUGGCCUAAGAAAGUAGUGAAACUAUCCAUCAAAGUGAAGAAGGUUUGGGUCCAGAGGAGAAGGGGCCCAAUACGCUAGCGGAAGCCAACAUGAAGGGGGUUGGAGUAAGCUGCAGAGAAGCCAGAAUGUGCUGCCCAAUCCGAUCAUGUAUGCCGACGGGUUUGACUCUGAAACUGAAAGGAACGUUGUUAGCCCUCAAUCAGUGCAUGAGGAUCAAGGUAGUGGAAGAACCACCCCCGUCACGAAAAAACCCGACGAAGGAGGAGCAUUGAUGGGAGACCAAUUUUUCACUCCACCACAUAGGCAGCAGCGAAGAGGGAUCUGGACAAACGGGGAGCCAAAUGUGCAGCAUCCAUUGAGGGAGUCAGAGUCGGGAACGAACUCGCUUCGAGCAAGGAAUUGCUGCGUUGCCAGGUUAACACUUAAAUCUGCAAGCCUAUCAAUUUCGGAUGGUGAUAUUAUUGGUUGUAAUAAUCGUUUCUGGAAGGUAAUAGAUAAUGCUGAAUCGUUUGAUUUGUGGGAGUUGGGUAAACAUAUUGGAACAACUUGUUUUAGGGACGAGGAUGAGGUAAUUAAAGAAGUAGAAAGAAUGGAAGAGAGAGAUGUAGCGAUAAUGACGAAGAAUGAGAAGGGUAAUAAAACUGGUCUUAUAUGAUAAUUAUAAGUUUGGAUAUAAGAGGGUUAAGAGGGGGCACUAAGUUGAGGUACAUGAGGAAAUUAAUUUCCAAGGAAAGUGCGAGAAUCAUUUGUGUUCAAGAAACAAAAACAAAGACAACGUCAGAUGCACAAUGCUUCUCCAUGUGAAAAGAUAGUAAUGUGGGUUGGUUACAUAAUGAGGUGAAAACGGGGUAGGGAGCCUUUUAACCAUGUGGCAUAAAGAGGUAUUCCUUUGUCAAAGUCAUUUAAUGGGGAAAGGUUUUAUUGUGUUUUUUGGGAAGCAUUUGCAAACUAAUAUGGAUAUUGUGGUGGUUAACGUGUAUUCUGCCUGUAAUUUUCAAGAUAAGAAAACUUUGUGGGGUGAACUAUCUAGUAUAAAAACAGCACACCAAAAAUGUCCAUGGUGCUUCAUAGGAGACUUUAAUGUUGUUAGGAGGACCAACGAAAGGAAAUGAAAGAGUGCAAGGGGCAGUCAAACGAGAGAAAUUCGUCACUUUAACAAGUUCAUAGAAGGAAAUUUCUUGUUAGAUAUACCAAUCGUUGGCAUGAAAUAUACUUGGUUUAAAGCAAAUGGGUCAGCUAAGAGCAAAUUAGAUAGAGUACUGGUAUCCGAAGAGUGGAUUCAGAAAUGGCCUAUGUGUAAACAAUAUAUCCAACCUAGGGAGGUUUCAGACCAUUGUGAUGUAGUAGUGAAAUCGAUGUUAAAGGAUUGGGGUCCACGACCCUUUAGGUCUAUUGAUGCGUGGCAAAUGGAGAGCGACUUUAAGGAACUAGUGAAAGAUAAAUGGAACUCUUACGUUGUAAGACGAGAUGGUAUAACAAAUUUCAAAGAUAAACUAAAUUUUUUGAAGGAGGGUCUAAAAGUCUGGAAUCGAGAAGUGUUUAGGAAUUAGGAGGUUUCUAAGAACAAUAUCCUAAAGCAAAUUGAGGUUCUUGAUAACCAAGACAAUUACAGUGAGCAAGAGGAGAGCACAAAAAUUGAGAGUAUGGAACUUAUGAGUCAGCUGAAGGAAAUAGAAAAUAAGAUAGACUCGCUGUUGUGCCAAAAGGCGAGGUCAAAUUGGUUGAAGCAUGGUGACUCAAACUCAAAGUUUUACCACUCUUCUAUUAAGUGGAGAAGAAUCAGGAAUGAAGUAAAAUGGGUUGAAGUUGGGGGCCAAUGGUGCGAGGACCCUGAGGUGGUUAGAGGUCAGGUCAAAAACCAUUUUGAAGAGAGAUUCACAGCCACAAAGGAUUUUGGGGUAAGAUUAGGAGCAAUUAAGUUUAAAACCAUUUCCCAGGAGGAUAAACUAAGUCUAAUAUCUGUUUUUUCGGAGGAAGAAAUCAGGGAAGCAGUUAGACAGUGUGAUGGUUCGAAAAGCCUUAAGCCAGAUGAGUUUAAUUUAAGUUUCAUACAGAAAAAUUGGGAAACUCUUAAAGAAGAUAUUUAUGCAGCGGUUAGCCAGUUUCAAGAAUCUGGAACCAUUCCCAAAGGGUGCAAUGCUUCGUUCAUUACUUUAAUACCAAAAGUUUGUGACCCAAUGAAGCUUGAUCAGUACAGACCUAUAUCUUUAGUUGGGUCAUGUUAUAAGAUAAUCUCAAAGGUUCUGUCAAAUAAAAUUAAGAAAGUUCUGCCUUUGGUUAUAGAUGAGUGUCAGUCAGCAUUCCUAAAGGACAGAGGAAUGCUUGAUAGUGUUCUUAUGGCCAAUGAGAUUGUUGAAGACAUUAUAAGGAACAAGAAAAGAGGGUUGUGCGUGAAGGUAGAUUUUGAAAAGGCAUAUGAUUCGGUCAGAUGGGAGUUCUUAUUUGAUAUGUUACAAAGGUUAGGCUUCCAUCAUAAGUGGAUUGUUUGGAUUAGAGGAUGUUUGGAGUCAGCAUCAGUAUUAGUAUUAGUAAAUGGAAGUCCUACAAAAGAAUUUAAACCAACGAGAGGGCUAAGGUAGGGAGACCCUCUAGCUCCAUUUCUCUUCAUUGUUGUAGUUGAGGGCCUUGCGGGCCUUGUUAGAAAAGCAAUAAAGAGUAAUCUGCUUAAUGGUGUGAAAGUUGGCAGGCUCGAAGUAGAGUCUUGUCUGUUGCAAUUUGCAGAUGACACUCUUUUUAUGUGUGAGGAUAGUUAUUCCUGUGUGGUAACAAUUAAAGCUAUCCUGAGGUGUUUUGAACUUGCAUCUGGACUGAAGAUUAACUUCCAUAAAUCAAAACUUGUGGCCUUUAAUGUAGAGAGAACCACAAGCGAAUGUUAUGCAAAGAUUCUGAAUUGUGAACUAAUGAAGGUACCUUUUAAAUAUUUGGGGUUGUAUAUGGGUGGCAAUCCAAGGAAGUGUCAAAUCUGGGAGCAUGUUGUGGAAAAAAUUAGAGUUAAAUUAAAUGUAUGGAAAGGAAGACAUUUAUCUAUGGCAGGAAGAAUAUGCUUAAUAAAAUCGGUGUUCACAUCAAUACCACUUUUCUAUUUGUCCUUCUAUAAAGCUCUAGAAUCAGUCUAAAAAAGUAUAACCAACAUCCAAAAGGAGAUUCCUAUGGGGGUGGGGUAAGGAUAAAAGAACAAUAUCGUGGGUUAGUUGGGAUAAUUUAUGCAAACCAAAGGAGGAGGGAGGCUUAGGCUUUAAAGAGGUUCACAAAUUCAAUAUAGCGCUCCUGGCCAAGUGGAAGUGGCGUAUCGAAAGUGAAGAAAGAGGGAAAUGGAAAGAGAUUCUUUUGUCAAAGUAUGGACCCGAUUUAGGACGAACACAAGUUCAAAGCAAAUACCAAUCUUGGCGGUGGAGAGAUCUCGUAAAAGUGAGUGGAGAGGGUCAAGAAGAGGGCUGGUUCCAAAAGGCAAUCACAUGGAGAAUAGGAGCAGGGGACAAAGUCAGAUUUUGAGAGGAUGUUUGGGUUGAAAGAAGUAAUCUCAAGAUUGCAUUCCCUAGGCUAUAUUCAAUAUCCUUAGAUAAGGGGCGUAAGGUGGGAGAGGUUGGGAUCUGGGAAGGUGUAGAAUGGAGAUGGAGGCUAAGUUGGAGACGUAAUAGGUUUGUUUGGGAGGAUCAACAAGAAGAACAAUUAUUAAAGAGUCUGGUAAACAUAAAUCUGAACAGGGAGGUACAAGACCAAAAGGUUUGGAAUGGAGAGGAAUCUGGAUGCUUUUCUGUUAAAACAGCUUAUGAAUGCUUGUCGAAUUAUGUCACAAGUAAUGUUAAAGAUGUAUUUAAAUAUUUGUGGUUGGCCAAGGCGAUGCCAAAAGUACUGACCACGACAUGGAGGACCCUUUUGGGAAGAUUACCGACUAAAGUAAAUUUUUCAAGGAGAGGGGUCGUAGUUAAUGAUAACAUUUGUGUUCUAUAUCUUGAUAGGGAAGAAUCAAACCAACAUCUGUUUCUGGAGUGUAAAAUAGCUUACCAGGUUUGAAAUUAUUGCUUCAGGUGGUUUGGCGUAUUGGGUGCGCAACAUUACAAUUUGAAAUAUCAUUUUGAGAAUUUUCAUCUGGUACAUAUGAACACUAAACAAAAUAUGGUUUGGAAAGGUGUUUGUGCAACAGUUGUGUGGAGUAUUUGGGAACACAGGAAUAGAGUUAUCUUCAAUCAAGGGAAAGUUGAUGCGGAAGAAAUCUUUCAUAUGGCACAACUCAAAACCUGGUCUUGUUUGAAAUAUAGGAUGAAAUCUUUUAACUACGCCUUCUCGAAUUGGGUACUGAAUCCUAGCCUAUGUCUAAAUAGUAAUCACUAAGGAAAGGAAGAGAAUGGGUGAGGGGGCUAUAAGUAAAAAAGGGGGGAGAAAGGUGAAAAGAAGGUAGAGAAAUGUAACUAGUACAUGGAUUUGGGUUUAGUUGUAAAGAUAUCUAAUUGAAAGGUCCUUUAUUUGAUCUACUGAUGGCAGGGAAAGGUUGUCGUUUCUAUUUGUGUAGGCUCUGGAAGAAGGACAAGAGUUGGGUGCAAAUGGAAGGUAUGCGCGGGAGCUAAUGAAAGGAUGCAUGCCGGAUGUGAAUGAAGGUAAUGGAGGACGUUGGAGGUGCUGUAAGAACAGAUGGGUCAUGGCAUGAAGCAAACUGGUUUUUAGAUGGACGUGUAGUAGCUGGAGUUAAAGGCAUAAGGCCACUAAUGGAUCAUGUGAUGAAAAACCUGAAUUAUGCAGCUGCAGUUGCUUUUACUUGCUGUUUUUGGUCCCUCUGGUUUCUCUGGCUUUUAGCUCAGUUACUGCAGGAAUAGCUUACUACAAGCUCAAGACAACGUUGGUUUUUCUCAUACAAGCUGUGUUAGAUGAUGUUAAAAGGCCAAAUCAAGGUUGUUUCUCUACAAGGCUGAUAUUGCUUGUGGUGGGGUCUUUCCUCUAAAAGAAGUACUUGCUUGAAUCAUCAAGAAUAUGUCCCUGUUUUUAGGUGUUAGCUGUUUUAUGUUCCAUGGACGAUAGUUUUUUGUUAGGAAGGGAAGAGUUGUCAUAUAGAUAGAUAUCAUCCUAUGUAUCUAUAUACUUUAUCUGCAAACGGAUUGGGAUACCCAUAAAAUAUCUCAUUUUAAUUUAUUUAAUUCUUUGCUGAUAAAAAAAAAGAUAAGAAUGAGAGUUUUUUUUCGCAUUUAACUUGCCACAGUGAUUUCCUUUUCUCUAUCCUGCCUAUUUUUUAAUAAAGAAAUUAUUUAUAAUUAAAAAUACAUAUACAUAUAUAUAUAAUACAUAUUUUGAUGAUAAUGAAAAAUUAUUAUUAAAAGUUUUAUUUGUGAAAAAACAAAUCAAAAGAUAAGAAAGCAGACAAAUGAUAUCCUUGCAUUACCCGUCAAAAUACUUUAGAAAGAUUUGUUUGGAGCAAAAAAAAAAUCGUUAUUUUUACAAUAAUUUACAAUUUACAAAGAUAAGGAAAAAGAAUAAAUUAUUCUCUUGUAUAAGAUUUAUCUUAUUAAUUUAAAUUAUAAAUUAAGUAUUAUUUAGAAUAUAAUCAGUAUUCUUUUCACCUAAGUUUAUAAAAAUUAUAAUUAUAAUAGAUAUCGUAAACUAAAGAGCUUUUAGUUGUUAUUCUUCAAUAAUAAAAAGAACUUUUUUAAAAAAAAUCUUGAUAUCUUUUAAUUUAUCAUUUUUAGUAUUUAUAAUUUUAAAUUGAAACAGUAUUAUAAAAGAAAUUAAUAAUUAAAAUAUAUUUUAUAUUUUAAACAUAUAUUUACUAUAUCUUUCUCCCAAACCCUCUCUUUCUCAUAUACCAACCUCUCUCAAUUCCAUUGACGCACUUUUAUCUUGUAUGUUUUUUUCCCUUUCAAUUGUUUAUCCAAUGAACAAAAUCCUACUUUUUUUUUCUUUAAUAGUUUUGUUAUAAGGUUGAUUAAAUUGUUGUCUUCGUGUAUUUUAUGGUGUUAUUUAUGUCAGCACAAUAAUAACAAUAUUGUCAUCAUACAAUGUCAAAGACAUGCAUAAAUGAAUAAAAAAGAAAAGUAAAUCUAGACAUUGCAUUUCCAUCUUCUACUUUAUAAUUGAAAAACAACACUUCGUGAUUAGUUUUAUGGCUCUGGAAGAAAACUAUGACUUCUCAUAUUUUGAAUUUUGAAUAUGAAAAUAGAAAACGAAAAAUGUGCUUAAUGGGAUAAAAGUGAAGAUGAAGGGGAGAAAAAGAUGUAAUUGUACAAUGCUCCUCAGCAAGUUUCACUUUGCAAUGUUUAAUUUUGAAUUUAAAUUUUUUUGAAUUUAAAAAUAGUAUUAUCUCUUCUAUUAUCCUUUUGAUAUAUAAAAUUAAAACUGCUCACAAAAUGUCAAAUAUCUCUUCUCAUAUAUUUUUAAAAUAAUUAAAUAAAAUAUAAAUAUAAGGAUGGAAGAGUCGUAGAUUUUGAAAUACACAAAUUUGGUAAACAGUUAGACUUUUGAUAGGAGCACAUAUGUUGACUCACAAAGAUUUAUCAUAUAAUAUUACUUAUUCAUUAAAAGUUCAUUCCUUACAUGGAAGGAAAUGAAACAAGACAUUGUUUCAUAUUAAGACUAAAGACUAAGCUCUUGCUACUUGCUUAAGUAACGUGUGAGCUAGACUAAUUCACUUUCUUAAUGAUCUUCAAAUAGUUUGUUCUCACCUAGUUGUUCUAUAUUAUGAUAGUAAAAUCACUUUUCACAUAGCUAUUAAUUUCGUGUUUGAUAAGUGAAAUAAACAUUUAAACGUUGAUUGUCAUAUCUAAGAGAGGGUUCAAAAAGGAUUAAAAUCUUGCUUUGAGUCUCAUCCUCCAAGUAGAUAUUAAACAUUUUCAUUAAAGCUCUCUCAUUUAAACUAUUCAUCACCAACAUUAUUCAACCUAGGGUUGGUUAAUAUAUUCCUAUCGAGUCACGUGUAAUAAAAGACUUAAAAUGAAAUUCAAAUUUUCCAUAAUAAUCUUGAACUUUGUGGCAGUGUGUUCUUAUCGAACUAUGUUAGACCGUUAUUGUAACUAUCACUUUUUACUUCUAGAUUCUAUCUUAUCCUUUGAUGAGUGUAAUGUUUUUAUUAUUAUUGUUAUUAUUAUUAUUAUUAUUAAGAAAAAGACAUUUUUUUGUCUCUAUUAAAAGAAUUAAUAAUGGUGAUAACAUUAUAAAUAAUAGGUGGUUUGUAGUGUAUUGCAUAGGUAAAUGAGAAAAUAGAAGUAAUUUAAAAAGUGUAAAUAAAAUUAUGGGAGAAAAGUAAUAACAGUAAUUAUAAUAGUGAAAUAGGAAUUCUAGAAAUUAUAAGAGUGAAAUAGUACAUAUAAAAUGUGUACUACAAAACAACUUAUCUAUUUAUAUAUAGUUAUAAAUUAUUAACAUUAUUAUUAUUAUAGAGAAGAAAGAAAUGAUUUCUAAAAUGCAUGAGGUUAAAUAAAAAAAACAUGAUCAUGCAAUUAAAUAGUAAUUUAAAAGAAAAAAACAAUAUGAUAGUCUUAAUUUUGUAACAGUAACUUUCAUUCUAACUUACUGUUUUUUAAAAUAUUUGUCUUUUUUUUAUAAAAAAAUAAAUUGAAUAAGGAAAGUGUUUCAAUCCUUUUACAGAUAAAGAAAAGAUAAAAACAAUACCAAGAAUGUUUAAAAAAACCUGCAACCUACACAAUUUUAAAUUUCCAAAAAUACUUUUUGUUUCAGAAAUAAAAAUCUGAAAUUAAAAAUUAUACAUUCUGGAAAUAUACGUCCAAGAGAGAUUAUUGUAUUCUAAAAUAAAAAUCUAAAAAUAAAAAAAAAUCCCAUUCCAAAUCUUCCGGAAAAAAUUCAGAAACAUUCCAGAAAAGAGGAUUCGAAAUGUAUUGUUAUAUGUACUCCAUUUUAUUUAAGGGCAUUUUGUCUUCUCAUACUAAAAUUGGGUGCCGUGCAGGAAGUAAUUGCCAUAAGAAAAAACCUGUGACCAACACCUACAGCAAACUGUACAGAACCAACACCUACAGCAAACUGUACAGAACCAACACCUCAACGUCCCACUGAAACUACUUGUAUUAUAUACCCUUUAAGCCUGUAAAACCUGACACCCAUCAAAACAUCCAAAGAAAAACUCAAAGAUCAGAGAAAGCCCUGCAACUUGUUUGUUGUAACCACUUCAAAGCACAGAGAAGGAGUAACUUGUCUCUAUAGUUUUUAAUUUUUGUAACUGUUUCCUCUCAUUAUGAAUUUUAAUCUUAACUUCUUCAGAAUAUAAAUGAUUCUUCAGACAUGCUUAUGUUUAAACUGAAUAUAGUUGCGGUUGUGAACUCAGUAAUAAAAGAUUAAAGUAGAUUAUCGAAGUUCAGUGGUUCUAAACUAUGAGCCAGAAACAUAUGGACAGACGAAAGGAGAUGAGAAAUGCGACCAUGGCAUAGACAGAGGGAAUAAACGAUGAAAUCUAGGAGAUGAGAAACGAAGAAAGAUAAUAAACUCUUGUAUAAAAUGUAAUUCAAGACAUCUACAUCAAUAAACAAUCAGUGUGUGCUCACAAGCACUAACUCAUCAUCCAUCAUUUUGGUUGAGGGCGCUUCAUUUUGAGAAGAUGGGAGAGUCCUGCAAUAACGUGUAAACGACUACUCGGGACACCUGUCUUUGCCAGGGCCUUGCCAUUGUUGUCAAGAAGCACAAAACAAGGAACAUAGCUAACAUCAUAAUUAAGGAGCUGCAAUAGGAAUAUUCAAAACCAAGUCAGCAAGAAGGAGUAAUAAUACUUUUCCAUCAAUAAAAUUAUAAAGGCCUCAAGUAUCUUAAUUGAAAAAUGUAUUCUACUUUUUAAUUAAAAUGUAAUAUGUUCUUCCGUAUCCUUCCAGAGAACUGUAAUAUGCCCAUUCAUCAAUUUUUAUUAGUAUUGGGUGAUAAUUGAGAUGUCCAAGGAAGCAACAUUUGCUACAGUUAAACAUGGAAACAACAUUUGUUACAAAUUACAAUACAUAAUCCAAGAAAAAAUACCGGGUGAAGGCCAAUUUAAGCAGCAUCUGGAUUGCAAAUAAAAUUUGCAUGGUUUGCUUGCAUGUAGAGGUAAUUCAGAAAGAAUGAAUAAAAAUAAAAAAGCCAAAGUUACACAGAUGAAGAGUCAAGAAUACAAUACUUCUUUAAAGGGAUGUAGUGACCACAAUCACAUUUGAAGAAAACAAACUGAGAAACAGGUCGGCAUCUUGAAAAGGUCAAAACAUGGCUUGGAGCAGGAGACAAGAGUCACAGAAUGUGAACCCAAUGGCUUAGUCAGUCUGCUCAAACGUGGUUCAGCAUAACAUGAAUAACUAUCAUAGUAUUUACUAAACCCCCAUGUCCCAUUAAAUUCUUCCUAAUAACCAAAUUGACAUGUAAGCUUAUACACCACAAUUAAAUAAACAAAAUAAUAUAAAAAAAUUACAAAGCAUCAAAGUACAUUUAUAUUCUUCACAAUCCAAUGGCAUAUAAAUCCAAUCUCCAUAACAGAAAAAAAAAAUAGCUAACAUCAUAAGUUCUUAACACCUAUGCUGUUGCAUGAUUCCAUGGGUAUUGUCCAUACUACCCUAGAACAGUUAUUGUAAAAGUAUUAUUUUAUCUUCUAAUUAGUCUUUUAGUUCUUAUUUAUGCAAAUUAAUUCAUAUAACCAGAAUUAGAUCUAUUCCAAUAGAUAGAUAUUAUUUUUAUUAAGGAGUUCUGCUAAAAAAGGGUUUAACUGCUGUGACAGAGUGUGAUUUUUCCCAAACUGUAUUAGGUUAUCUUUUAUUUUUCCUAGCUGCUUCUUAGCUAUCUUUCAGAUCUACUUUUUAUCCUUUUCUCUGUGUCUCUUCUGUGAUGCUAAAUGGUCAUUAUCAUUCUACAACAAUGCAGUAACAGAAAUGAAGUUAAUAAUACUCAGAUCAUCAUGAACUCUUGUAUGCCAAAAUGCAUUGGAUGUACCCAAGCCCAAGCAAUAACUUAAUCACACAGAAUGUUCAUGCAAUUUAUGCAACCAAACAGAAACCUUUGCUGAGAUCAAGUUUGAUCCCAUGCGGGGAUUCUCAAAGGCGCACAAGCCAAACAACAAUCUGCUUCUGAAACCCACUAAGCAAAUAAGGAGCAUUUCCCCCCUUACUACUACUAAAGGUUUGUAGAAAUCAGUAACAUACAAUCAAAACUUCCUGAAGGUACUAUUCGAUUAGAUUUCUCCACCAGCCAAUGAUGAUUCUCAAGAUAAAAUUUGAAGAAUGAAGGCAUAUCUGAAAUCAUUAUAUAAAAUGGAACAAGAAAAUGAUCUUUAUUUUAAUGAAUAUUGGUACAAAGGAAAGACAAUUGAAUGAUAUAAACCAGUGAUUCUCUCCCAAUUUCCACUCCAAACUCCAGCAGUGAUAUCUAUUCCUUCUAUUUCUAUUUAUACCCAAUCAUCUCUAGUCUUAUCUAACUAACUGGUGCAACUAACACAUUCUAACCCAUUUUUUAUUUGGGUGCCUGCCAGCAGAAUCUACAGGUUAAGUAGAUCAUGCUUUAAUUCUUCAAGAGCAUAAGAAUGAAAAUAUUAAACACUUGAGUAAUCAAGAGAUUACUAAAUGAUGGGGAUUUUCUAGAGGAUGAACAUUGAAAAAUAUGGUUAUUCCACCACACGAUCUCUAAAUGUUUAAAUUGAAGAUGUAAACUUAAGGAACAAUGGUUUUAUUUUUCAAAGUACUACUCAAUCAAUCACAUUAUAGUCAUGGGUUUGGUCAGUUGCAUUCAGAUUUCGUUUAUAAUUUAGUGUACCCUUACUCUAUUAUUUGAGCUUAUAAGGGUUAGUCACCUCAGUCCCUCACAAUGCAAAACAUAAUUCAGUUUAGGACAGUUUAGAUAACACAGAAAUUAAAAAAUAAACUUCUAGAAUAAAUAAUAUGGAAAACCUCUACAAGUUUAGUUUAUUUCCAAAGAUACAUCAUCUCAUUUUAGUUUGUGAAAAGGUUUAUUUCAUUUUUCUUUACCUAUGAAUGCACAUACAAGUUUAUUCACUACCAAUAGUUAAUGAUGUUUUGCAAAGUGAAGGAUUAAAGUGAGAAUUUCAUAAUGUACAAUCUCAAGACUUAAAGUGGGUACUUUUAUGCAAAAGAAGGUACCUCAGGUAGCCAGUUGGGAUUCUCAGCAUCGGCCAUGACAAUAUUGACCCAGUGAGAGUUCCUCGUUUCGACUUCGGAAACAAAUUUGAGCAAGGAAUUGCAGAGCCUGCACUUAGUUGAGUAGAAUUCCACCAAAGUCGCCUCCUUGCCGCUCGCCAGAGCCGAAGCAAAUGCUCUCUGCUCUACCUUCGACUGUGCCAGAGUCGUUUUCUUCUUCCAACUACAAACAGAGUUCGCAAAAUUGAAAGCAAUUAAACCAAGGCUUUGGAGAUACUUCAAUGGCCAAGGACCCUUAAGCUUGCAGGGACUAGGCCAAGAGUUAGGGCUUGCGUCAUUCCAUGGCCAUUUUAGGCAAAACGUAGUUUGUUUAGGUUUAAAGUUAUAAAAAAAUCAUCAUAUACCCUAGGAUUUUGUCAUUUCUUUUAUGAUUCUCCCUUCAUCAUAUCAAUCUAAAUAUGCACCCAACACACUAACGUGAAAUGUUCGUUUUGACCUUAAUGAUUUAAAAGAUUUUGCUUUCGGAUAUUCAUGUCCGUAAGCCAAAUUACAAAGUUCUAUGUCACUUCCGAAUUUGGUCAUCUAGAAGCUUACUUGGACAACAUAAAUGACCCUUUCAGAUGCCAAGAUCCAUAAGCAAACAUAAUGAGUUUUGAAUCCUAAUCCUCAGCACCAUUUACAGGACACCAUUCUGGAUAUGAAAAUCCGGGACUCAUAACUCACUUCCGGAUAUGGUCAUCCGAAAGCUUAAAUGAAGUACGAAAAUAACCUUCCAGAUAUCUAAAUCCGGAAUAUACAACAACCACUUCCGAAUUUCUGCAUCCGUAAGCAAACAUGAAACCAAGGGCAAUGUUGAAUUUUGGAUUGGGUGCAUGUCUUAAAUGAUAUGGUGCAGGGAGAAAUUGUCUCAUAUUUAUCCUUUGUCGUUCUCGUUGUAUAUGAUGCCCGAAGCAAAAUGGAUUUGGUUCCUAUUCCCAAUCCUAAACCUAAACCUAAACAAACUACGUUUUUUUACCUAAAAUGGCCAUGGAAUGACGCAAGCCCUAACUCUGGGCCUAGAGCAUUGCACGUAAAAUUAGAAGCAUGUGAACAAAUUAUACCAGCAGCUUCUACAAGAAUUAUUUCCAUAAUCAAAAGAAAGGGGAAGUGCUAUCAUUCAAUUCUCCACAAAUCAAGUUAAACUGAUUAGCAGUGCUUAUGCAAAGCAGUCCUCACAAAUUUCUCUAAUCCAUUUUCAAUUUUACAAAAACAAUUUCAUAUGAUAAAUUCCGUAACAAAAAUGCCAAGACUACCCAGGACUAUAAUAGACCAUCGUAGAUACUACACUUCAUUCAUUUUCAACACAGAAUCAUGUUAGGAGUGAAUCAGAAAUUGGAAAUUAGAACAAAUACUCCAUCACUCUUCAACUUCAAAAUUCAACUACAAUUAUUUAAACAACAUGACGUGAUAAAACCAUUUCAGUUUUGAACCAUCAAUGUGUUACAAUCGAAACUUGAAACUACCAAAUCGAACCUCAAGGAAAGACACAACUACUAACAGACAAUGUAAUAAGUAUGUAUAUCCUCACUACCAAAUUUUCAUUCUGAGGAACCAUUCUCAGGCAACAAUAACAUGAUUUGGAAUAGGUAUUUCUACUAAAUAUUGAAUAAAAAAUCAGGGGGAAAGGAGUUUCAUCCAUAAACCAUAAACCAACUAAGAGGAUCAAUAAGGGAAAAUUGAACAUACCCUAACAUCUUUACUUGUUGAAUUCAAAAGACACGCUUUGCUUCCUGCGAAAACAAAAAUAACUAUACAAAUCAGAUGUUAUCAAACACGUCAAUACUCAAAGGAUGUGACCUUUUACAACUUAAAACAAAAUUAGGUCGCAGAGAGAACGAAAAUUAGGGUGCAGAGAGGACGAGAGAGAAGAGACCUUGUUGAUGAAUAAACCGCCGAAACCCCUAACUCAUACGAAAAUAUUGGAAAUUUAUAUGAGAAACCAUAAACAUAAUAUAUAGUGUGAAAUUAUUAUGUUAAUUUAUAGUAUUUUAAUGCAACUUUUAUACGAAGUAUACUCUCUACUAUUUGAGUUCUAAGAAACUCUCACCAGUCUAACAACCUUUGCAAAAUAGAAAAGGUAUUAUACUCUAAAUGAUCAGAGAAAGGCGUCACAGGUUCUCAAGGAUCAUUUACAGACCAAAGAUGUAAAGGCAAGAUGUAGUGUCAGGUGGGUGGUGACCAACACUCAAAAACACUGUAGCAGCAGCCAGAAGCCACCAAAAAUUUCAUAAAUUUUAAAAAACAGAUAUUAGAUAGUCCAAGCAGGAUUAAAAGUUUAUAUCUUUCAUGUAGGAAGGAAACACCGUAAGCAACAGACCUGUUGGAUAAGGAACUAAAGAACUGUGCAUGAAUAACCAAAAAAGGACAAAAAUCAUAUCAAGAUUAACUAUGUUAUUACGAGCAUACCAGUAAACUACAUCUGACAUUAGUUAUUUAAAACACACAAAAUUACAUGACAUGACAUAUUCUAUGAACAAAAAGGAGAACUUUCAUAGAUAGUGAUUUCUUUCUGAUCCCUAAUCAGUUUGAGGGUGUCAAAUGGAUUAAAAAAAUUCCUAAUUAGCUGCAUAAUACUGGAUGAAGGAGUGUUAGGUUAUUAAAAGCGGGAAUUUGACACCUUUAUAAGAGCAUUAUUCCACAAACACAAAAAUUAGUACAACAAUUUAUAUCAAAUUUUCCCUUAAUCAGCAAAAUAGAAACCAGUUAGUAGAUUAAUCAUUACGGCGACUUCAGCAGUAAAGUUAUAAUCUUUAGAUAAACCAAUAAAAAAAAUCAUGCAAAAUCAAUAAACCCCACAACUUCAAUAGCAACAGUUUUACCACCUCCAACUUACUUUAAUCACAACAAACUCAGUUUGUUAUCAUGUUUGAACGUCCCUCGGUACUCUUCUCACCUAAGUUUGCUAGUAAACUUAGUUUCAGCUCAAAACAACAUCAAGGUUGCUUUUAAAGUAAAAGUACUUUUGAUUUGUAUUUAAAAGAGUAACAUGAAGUACAAGUAUACCUUUUUUUAUCAGUACUGUCUAAACAAAUUUUAUUUUAUCCACUUACUUUUGAACAAAAAACAAAAUUCAAAACACAUGGUUUUGGCGAGUCAACUCGUUAACUCGUACAAGUUUACGUUUCCACACAUCCUUACGGAGUUAACUCGAUAGUAAACUCGGUUUUAGAGUAAACUCGGCAGAAUCGGAGUGAAUUCGGUGAACUCUAUCAAACUCGCGAGUCUGCUUUCAACUGGGUUUUCGUUUUAACCCAAAACGGUGUCCUUCUGAAUGGGGAAAAUUAAAUGAAAUAAACUGACCUUUAGGGUUUCGCGUUUCGUUUUCGUUUUGGUUUCACUUUGCGUCUUCUGUGGAGUGCACGGAGGUGGUGCGUCUUCUCUGAACGAGUGCGGCGGUGGUGGCGAUCGAGCGGAGUGGUCGCACGGUGGUGGCGAUUCGUACGUUCGUGCGACGAUUGCGG
rnacentral:lncRNA from 1 species